GAUGAACGCUGGCGGCGUGCCUAAUACAUGCAAGUCGAGCGAACGGAUGAGGAGCUUGCUCCUCUGACGUUAGCGGCGGACGGGUGAGUAACACGUGGAUAACCUACCUAUAAGACUGGGAUAACUUCGGGAAACCGGAGCUAAUACCGGAUAAUAUAUUGAACCGCAUGGUUCAAUAGUGAAAGACGGUUUUGCUGUCACUUAUAGAUGGAUCCGCGCCGCAUUAGCUAGUUGGUAAGGUAACGGCUUACCAAGGCAACGAUGCGUAGCCGGCCUGGGAGGGGUAAUCGACCACCCUGAACCGAGACAACGGUCAAGAUCCCAAGGGAGGCAGCAGUAGGGAAUCUUCCGCAAUGGGCGAAAGCCUGACGGAGCAACGCCGCGUGAGUGAUGAAGGUCUUCGGAUCGUAAAACUCUGUUAUUAGGGAAGAACAAAUGUGUAAGUAACUAUGCACGUCUUGACGGUACCUAAUCAGAAAGCCACGGCUAACUACGUG
rnacentral:rRNA from 1 species